rnacentral:lncRNA from 10 species
UGGAAAACACUGGGUAGGAAAAAAAGAAAACCUUGAAAUAUUAGCUUCAAUGAAGGAAAAUCUGGAUAACUUAUUCUUAUGAAUCUGAAACAAUUUAAGAAAACAAAUGACUGCUUGAUUUUUGUGCCAAUUGAAUAGAAUGGGAUUCAAUUUUUAAUAGCAAGUUGGCAUGGCUAAGUAAGGUCCCUGGGAUUCUCUUGCAAUGCCGUGAAAGCAAAAGGACAGCUCUCCUAACAAGAAGCCAAUAGAUUGCUACAGGAGGCUGAGGAGAGGAAAAAGCCCUUUUCUCAUCACCAUUGAUUCCUUCAGUCUCCAUGAUUUCCUCUCAAGAACUGCCAUUUGUUGC